UCUCUGAUGAGAAGGCUUAAAGCGCUUUUUCGUGGAGGCCACACGCCCACUUGCAAUGGCCAUUAUGUUUUUGGGCUAUAAAGUGCAGCUCUGACAAAAGCGUUUGCUUAAAGCUGAAAGAGCAGUGGAGUUUAGUGCAAGCAGGGCUACUCUGU
rnacentral:sRNA from 12 species